UUAAUUGAAGAGUUUGAUCAUGGCUCAGAUUGAACGCUGGCGGCAGGCCUAACACAUGCAAGUCGAGCGGCAGCGGAAAGUAGCUUGCUACUUUGCCGGCGAGCGGCGGACGGGUGAGUAAUGUCUGGGGAUCUGCCUGAUGGCGGGGGAUAACUACUGGAAACGGUAGCUAAUACCGCAUAACGUCGCAAGACCAAAGUGGGGGACCUUCGGGCCUCACGCCAUCGGAUGAACCCAGAUGGGAUUAGCUAGUAGGUGGGGUAACGG
rnacentral:rRNA from 1 species